rnacentral:rRNA from 1 species
AUGCUUCCCACGCACCCCUCGAAGCCCCUCCUCCGCCCGUUAUUGAUGUCAGCAAGCACGGCAUGGGCGACGCUUAUGAGUGCCAAUUAUUUCAUGAGCAUGAUGAGUGGUUGUGUGUGCAUAGACGGGAUCAACUGCUCGAUGCCAAAUUCUCAAGUAGAAGAUGUCGUGGAGUUGCUUCGCACUCCGUUUGAUAAGGGGCGAAGAUCGGCCAAUUACACGGUGUGUGAGGAUGAGACAUCGGUGAUGGCAUGGGAGAAUGUGACACUUGAUGCGGUCAUGGGAAAUAAUCAAACCGGUGCCAACUGUUGGAAGGACAUUAUGGAGGAAAAUCAUCGCAAUGCAAAGAUGCCCUCCUAUCAGGAUGAAGUAUUUCGAUUUAUGUUGUGCAUUUGGAUGUUGUAUAUAUAUUGA